GGCCGAGUGGUUAAGGCGACAGACUAGAAAUCUGUUGGGCUCUGCCCGCACAGGUUCGAAUCCUGUCGGCGACG
rnacentral:tRNA from 1 species